rnacentral:misc_RNA from 1 species
AACCAUAGAAACCUGCGGAGUACCUGCGGAAGGAUCAUUACCAGAGAGCCUUUUGGCACUCCAACCCAUUGUGAACAUACCUAUCGUUCCCUCGGCGGGCUCAGCGCGCGGGGCCUCCGGGCUUCCGGGCGUCCGCCGGGGACAACCAAACCCUGAUUUACUACGUGUAUCUCUGAGGGGCGAAAGCCCGAAAACAAAAUAAAUCAAAACUUUCAGCAACGGAUCUCAGAUCGGAAGAGC